CCAGAGACAGAGACACUGGCUGAGCAGGGCGAGGGCCCUGGCGCGCAUGCCAUUGAAGCCGGACUCAUAUGGGAUUUGUGGUGAGCAAGCAUGCGGAGGAUGCAGUGGUGGAAACAACCACCGCACCCACGACACCGACGACACUCCCGCCUCUGGGUACCGAUUCGCCAACCUCUUCGGUGGUCUCAAACCGCCCUCCACCCCCUGCCAUUAUAAUCACCACGCCUUCCAGCGAGAGCCUCCUGUCACUAUCAUCGCCGAGAAAGAGCGUCGAGGAGGCAGUUAAAGAAUCCAGACCCAAAAAGGUUCCGAUAAUGGUUGGACGAGGACCAAUCACAAGUAACUGACGCACAAUGACCCACUGGAGACUGAGCUGCAGCUCUUAAGAGGGAGAGCGUGGUCUUGGAAAACGGUGGAAAAUAAACCCCGCGGUGCCUUUCAUC